CAGUAAAUAGUAUAAACGUAUAUAUAGUUUCGGCCUAUAUGGUGAACUUUUAGUUCUUUACUGU
rnacentral:tRNA from 1 species